GACGAACGCUGGCGGCGUGCUUAAUACAUGCAAGUCGAGCGAGGUUACUGUUUUGGAUCCCUUCGGGGUGAAGAAGCUUUAACCUAGCGGCGGACGGGUGAGUAACGCGUGGGUAACCUACCCCAAAGUCCGGGAUAACAGCGGGAAACCGCUGCUAAUACCGGAUGUCUUUACCUUGGGGCAUCUUGAGGUAAAGAAAGGCAACGCUUUGGGAUGGACCCGCGUCCCAUUAGCUAGUUGGUGAGGUAACGGCUCACCAAGGCGACGAUGGGUAGCCGGCCUGAGAGGGUGGACGGCCACACUGGGACUGAGACACGGCCCAGACUCCUACGGGAGGCAGCAGUAGGGAAUAUUGCGCAAUGGACGGAAGUCUGACGCAGCGACGCCGCGUGAGCGAUGAAGGUCUUCGGAUCGUAAAGCUCUGUCCUUGGGAAGAAGGCGAAAGCUUGACGGUACCCAAGAAGAAAGCCCCGGCUAACUACGUGCCAGCAGCCGCGGUAAAAGUCAACGUCG
rnacentral:rRNA from 1 species